UCAGCUUAGAAAUAAUACGAUCUCAAGUCAAACAAAAAUGCUAGUCAACCCACUUUAUUUAUCUUUUUUUUUUAUUAUUAUUAUUAUGCAUCACUACAUCUUUUUAGCCCAUAUAACUAGCUUCUACUUCAAACUAUAGUUCCCUAAAAUCAAGAAGGACUUUUAUUAGGACGUAACGUAGGCUAGGGAUAUGGCUAACAAAGAAAGGAAAUAAGGAAAACAAAGUGUAUGUUUG
rnacentral:lncRNA from 1 species